rnacentral:rRNA from 1 species
AAACUGGAGAGUUUGAUCCUGGCUCAGAACGAACGCUGGCGGCGUGGAUUAGGCAUGCAAGUCGAACGAUCCCUUUCGUCAAGAGGGGGAUAGUGGCGAACGGGUGAGUAACACGUGGGUAAUCUGCCUUUAGGUUCGGGAUAACCCGUCGAAAGAUGGACUAAUACCGGAUGAGACCACGGUCCCCGAUGGGACUGGGGUUAAAGAUGGGGAUCCUGAAAAUGGACCUGUUGCCUUUAGAUGAGCCCGCGAACUAUCAGCUUGUUGGUAGGGUAACGGCCUACCAAGGCUAUGACGGUUAGCUGGUCUGAGAGGAUGGUCAGCCACACUGGGACUGAGACACUGCCCAGACUCCUACGGGAGGCUGCAGUCGAGAAUCUUUUGCAAUGCUCGAAAGGGUGACAAUGCGACGCCGCGUGAGCGAUGAAGGCCUUCGGGUUGUAAAGCUCUGUCAGCUGGGAUGAAUGUAAGGCGGUCAAUAACCGUCUUGCUUGACAGUACCAGCAAAGGAAGCCACGGCUAACUCCGUGCCAGCAGCCGCGGUAAUACGGAGGUGGCAAGCGUUGUUCGGAUUUACUGGGUGUAAAGGUCAUGUAGGCGUCUUAUUAAGUCGGAUGUGAAAUCCCUUGGCUCAACCAAGGAACUGCAUUCGAUACUGGUAAGAUUGAGUACGGGAGAGGAAAGCGGAAUUCCGGAAGUAAGGGUGAAAUCUGUAGAUAUCCGGAAGAACACCAUUAGCGAAGGCGGCUUUCUGGUCCGAUACUGACGCUGAAAUGAGAAAGCUAGGGGAGCAAACA